rnacentral:rRNA from 1 species
GACGCACGCUGGCGGCGUGCCUAAUACAUGCAAGUAGGACGCAGUUGCGAACGGAUGAGUAACGCGUAGGUAACUACCUAUUAGAGGGGGAUAACUAUUGGAAACGAUAGCUAAUACCGCAUACUAGUAGAUGUACCUGCGUUUUAUUAGCUAGUAUGUCGGGUAAUGGCCUACCUAGGCAACGAUACAUAUCCGACCGUAGAGGUUGAUCGGCCACACUGGGACUGAGACAAGGCCCAUACUCCUACGCGAGGCAGCAGUAGGGAAUCUUCGGCAAUGGGGGGAACCCUGACCGAGCAACGCCGCGUGAGUGAAGAAGGUUUUCGGAUCGUAAAGCUCUGUUGUUAAGGAAGCGGUACUUAACCAGAAAGGGACGGCUAACUACGUGCCAGCAGCCGCGUAAUAC